AAUCACUUGUUCUUUAAAUGAGGACUUGUAUCAACGGCAUCACGAGGGUUAAACUGUCUCCUUUUUCUUAUCAGUGAAACUAAUCUCCCCGUGAAGAAGCGGGGAUAAUUCUAUAAGACGAGAAGACCCCAUGGAGCUUUAAACCCAACUACACUCCUCUUAACUUUACUUUUAAAUCUUGAGGACACUGUAUGUUCUGGUUUUAGGUUGGGGUGACCGCGGAGCAUAAACUAGCCUCCACAAUGAAUAGACCUCCUCUUUAUCCUAGAUUUACACCUCUAAGAAUUAGUAUUCUAACAUAAAAUGAUCCGAUAUUCGAUCAACGAACCAAGUUACCCUGGGGAUAACAGCGCAAUCUACUUUAAGAGCUCCUAUCGACAAGUGGGUUUACGACCUCGAUGUUGGAUCAGGGUAUCCUAGUGGUGCAGCAGCUACUAAAGGUUCGUUUGUUCAACGAUUAAAACCCU
rnacentral:rRNA from 1 species